UACAGAGGGGGCGAGCGUUGUUCGGAAUUACUGGGCGUAAAGGGCGCGUAGGCGGCCUUCUAAGUCGGACGUGAAAUCCCUCGGCUCAACCGAGGAACUGCGUCCGAUACUGGUUGGCUUGAAUUCGGGAGAGGGAUGCGGAAUUCCAGGUGUAGCGGUGAAAUGCGUAGAUAUCUGGAGGAACACCCGUGGCGAAGGCGGUUCUCUGGGACGGUACUGACGCUGAGACGCGAAAGCGUGGGGAGCGAACAGG
rnacentral:rRNA from 1 species